rnacentral:rRNA from 1 species
UUUCGAUGGUAGGAUAGGGGCCUACCAUGGUUUUGACGGGUAACGGGGAAUAAGGGCUCGAUUCCGGAGAGAGGGCCUGAGAAACGGCCCUCAGUUCUAAGGGACGCAGCAGGCGCGCAAAUUAUCCCAUCCCGACACGGGGAGAUAGUGACAAUAAAUAACAAUAUAGGGCUCUUAUGGGUCUUAUAAUUGGAAUGAGUACAAUUUAAAUCCCUUAACGAGGAUCAAUUGGAGGGCAAGUCUGGUGCCAGCAGCCGCGGUAAUUCCAGCUCCAAUAGCGUAUACUAAAUUUGUUGCCGUUAAAAAGCUCGUAGUCGAACUUCGGCCUUUGCCGCCCGGUCCGCCUUUUUGGUGUGUACUGGAGCGGUGGAGGCCUACCUCGUGGUGAACGGCCAUGCUCUUUACUGGGUGUGGUCGGGAACCAUGACUUUUACCUUGAAAAAAUUAGAGUGUUCAAAGCAGGCUUACGCCCGAAUACAUUAGCAUGGAAUAAUAAAAUAGGACGUGCGGUUCUAUUUUGUUGGUUUCUAGGAUCGCCGUAAUGAUUAAUAGGGAUAGUUGGGGGCAUUCGUAUUCAAUUGCUAGAGGUGAAAUUCUUGGAUUUAUUGAAGACGAACUACUGCGAAAGCAUUUGCCAAGGAUGUUUUCAUUGAUCAAGAACGAAGGUUAGGGGAUCGAAAACGAUCAGAUACCGUUGUAGUCUUAACAGUAAACGAUGCCGACUAGGGAUCGGACGAGGAUUUUUAAUGACUCGUUCGGCACCUGAAGAGAAAUCUUUAAGUCUGGUUCGGGGGGGAGUAUGGUCGCAAGGCUGAAACUUAAAGGAAUUGACGGAAGGGCACCACCAGGUGUGGAGCCUGCGGCUUAAUUUGACUCAACACGGGAAAACUCACCAGGUCCAGACACGACAAGGAUUGACAGAUUGAUAGCUCUUUCUUGAUUUCGUGGUUGGUGGUGCAUGGCCGUUCUUAGUUGGUGGAGUGAUUUGUCUGGUUAAUUCCGAUAACGAACGAGACCUUAACCUGCUAAAUAGCCCGGCCGACUUUGGUUGGUCGCUGGCUUCUUAGAGGGACUAUCAGCGUUUAGCUGAUGGAAGUUUGAGGCAAUAACAGGUCUGUGAUGCCCUUAGAUGUUCUGGGCCGCACGCGCGCUACACUGACCGAACCAGCGAGUAUAUCACCUUGGCCGGAAGGCCUGGGUAAUCUUGUGAAACUCGGUCGUGAUGGGGAUAGAGCAUUGCAAUUAUUGCUCUUCAACGAGGAAUACCUAGUAAGCGUGAGUCAUCAGCUCGCGUUGAAUUCGUCCCUGCCCUUUGUACACACCGCCCGUCGCUACUACCGAUUGAAUGGCUUAGUGAGA